rnacentral:rRNA from 1 species
CUGGCGGCAUGCCUAACACUGCAAGUCGAACGAGACCUUCGGGUCUAGUGGCGCACGGGUGCGUAACGCGUGGGAAUCUGCCCUUAGGUUCGGAAUAACAGUUAGAAAUGACUGCUAAUACCGGAUAAUGUCUUCGGACCAAAGAUUUAUUGCCUAAGGAUGAGCCCGCGUAAGAUUAGCUUGUUGGUGAGGUAAAGGCUCACCAAGGCGACGAUCUUUAGCUGGUCUGAGAGGAUGAUCAGCCACACUGGGACUGAGACACGGCCCAGACUCCUACGGGAGGCAGCAGUGGGGAAUAUUGGACAAUGGGCGAAAGCCUGAUCCAGCAAUGCCGCGUGAGUGAUGAAGGCCUUAGGGUUGUAAAGCUCUUUUACCCGGGAUGAUAAUGACAGUACCGGGAGAAUAAGCCCCGGCUAACUCCGUGCCAGCAGCCGCGGUAAUACGGAGGGGGCUAGCGUUGUUCGGAAUUACUGGGCGUAAAGCGUACGUAGGCGGCUUUGUAAGUUUGUCGUGAAAUCCCCGGGCUCAACCUGGGAAUGGCGAUGAAGACUGCAAGGCUAGAGUUUGGCAGAGGGGGGUAGAAUUCCACGUGUAGCAGUGAAAUGCGUAGAGAUGUGGAGGAACACCGAUGGCGAAGGCAGCCCCCUGGGUCAAAACUGACGCUCAUGCACGAAAGCG